rnacentral:rRNA from 1 species
AUUGAACGCUGGCGGCAGGCCUAACACAUGCAAGUCGAACGAGUGGCGGACGGGUGAGUAAUGUCUGGGAAACUCCCCGAUGGAGGGGGAUAACUACUGGAAACGGUAUCUAUUACCGCAUACCAUCGGAUGUGCCCAGAUGGGAUGAGCGCGUAGGUGAGGUAACGGCGCACCUAGGCGACGAUCCCUAGCUGGUCUGCGAGGAGGACCAGCCACACUGGAACUGAGACACGGUCCAGACUCCUACGGGAGGCAGCAGUGGGGAAUAUUGCACAAUGGGCGCAAGCCUGAUGCAGCCAUGCCGAGUGUAUGAAGAAGGCCUUCGGGUUGUAAAGUACAUUCAGCGGGGAGGCGUUACCCGCAGAAGAAGCACCGGCUAACUCCGUGACAGCAGCCGCGGUAAUUC